CCUACGUGUGGCAGCAGUGGGGAAUAUUACGCAAUGGGCGAAAGCCUGACGCAGCGACGCCGCGUGAGGGAUGAAGGUCUUCGGAUCGUAAACCUCUGUCAGCAGGGAAGAACGGUCACUGUGCUAAUCAGCAGUGAAUUGACGGUACCUGCAAAGGAAGCACCGGCUAACUCCGUGCCAGCAGCCGCGGUAAUACGGCGGGUGCGAGCGUUAAUCGGAAUUACUGGGCGUAAAGCGCUCGUAGGCGGUAUGUCAAGUCAAGGGUGAAAUCCCCGCGCUAAACGUGGGAACUGCCUUUGAAACUGGCAAACUGGAGUGUGUGAGAGGAUAGUGGAAUUCCAGGUGUAGGAGUGAAAUCCGUAGAUAUCUGGAGGAACAUCAGUGGCGAAGGCGACUAUCUGGCACAUAACUGACGCUGAGGAGCGAAAGCGUGGGUAGCAAACAGGAUUAGAUACCCCAGUAGUC
rnacentral:rRNA from 1 species